rnacentral:rRNA from 1 species
UACAGAGGGUGCAAGCGUUGUCCGGAAUCACUGGGCGUAAAGGGCGCGUAGGCGGCUUGGUAAGUAGGGGUGAAAUCUCACGGCUCAACUGUGAGGCUGCCUUCUAGACUGCCGAGCUUGAGCACAGUAGAGGCUGGUGGAAUUCCCGGUGUAGCGGUGGAAUGCGUAGAGAUCGGGAGAACACCAGUGGCGAAGGCGGUUGCCUGGGGCUUGCUGACGCUGAUGCGCGAAAGCGUGGGAGCGAGCCGG